CAGUAGCCGCGGUAACACGAAGGGGGCUAGCGUUGUUCAGAAUCACUGGGCGUAAAGGGUGCGUAGGCGGGAUCUUAAGUCAGGGGUGAAAUCCCGAGGCUCAACCUCGGAACUGCCUUUGAUACUGGGGUCCUUGAGUCCGGAAGAGGUGAGUGGAACUGCGAGUGUAGAGGUGAAAUUCGUAGAUAUUCGCAAGAACACCGGUGGCGAAGGCGGCUCACUGGUCCGGAACUGACGCUGAGGCACGACAGCGUGGGGAGCAAACAGGAUUAGAUACCCCCGUAGUCCCUGUCUCUUAUAC
rnacentral:rRNA from 1 species